GACGAACGCUGGCGGCGUGCCUAAUACAUGCAAGUCGAACGCAGUGGGGACGGGUGAGUAACACGUGGGUAACCUCCCAUCAGAGGGGCUAACACUUGGAAACAGGCGCUAAACCGAUACGGAUGGAUGGUCCCGCGGUGCAUUAGCUAGUUGGGGAGUUAACGGCUCACCAAGGCGACGAUGCAUAGCCGGCCUGAGAGGGUGAGCAGCCACACGGGGACUGAGACACGGUCCAGACUCCUACGGGAGGCAGCAGUGGGGAAUAUUGCACAAUGGGCGCAAGCCUGAUGCAGCCAUGCCGCGUGUAUGAAGAAGGCCUUCGGGUUGUAAAGUACUUUCAGCGGGGAGGCGUUACCCGCAGAAGAAGCACCGGCUAACUCCGUGCCAGCAGCCGCGGUAAUAC
rnacentral:rRNA from 1 species